rnacentral:misc_RNA from 1 species
CUCUGUCGGUCUGCGAUCGGGCCACUUCAUGCUUCUUGUUUUUUUUUUAGAUACACAGCAGGCGCAGUGAUCUACAGAUGCAUACGCCGAAGGACGCCGACAGAGAGGGGGGUUCAUGGGCCUCAAAAGUUGAGGCAGGGGCCCAUCAGCUGCGUCGCUUUUUUCACGGCGCGGAAAAUCGCGCUCAUUCCGCGUUGCCCCCCCUGCCACGACUUGCGGCUCUGAAUGACAAAGGCGCACCACACAUCCUUGCUCAGGUGCCGUUUCCACUCAGCACUUGCGCCGAUGCCGCCGGGACCCGAUCGCGCAAAGACUCGACUGCAGCGCGCCGGCAUUUUCCGAACAGCUCUGCGAUCCCGUCCGUUUCGACUCUCAACCGCGAGCUCAACUCUCUCUCUCUCCAGUUUGCUGGCAUGGGUGGUGGUGGUGGUGGCGUGGUGGCGGGCACACCUCUUGCGGCAGUCACCCUCCAUCAUCGUGACGAGCCGCGCCAAGCGUCGGCCCCUGGAGUCUCGCGCGCCGUUCUGCGUUAUGAGCGUGGCCAUUCUGUCACGCCAUCUAUCGCGCUGCACAACAGCACCAACAGCGAGCUCACGAGGCUGUCAGAGUUGCCACCAAUAUGUCGCCACCGCAGGACGUCCGCGAGCCCGCUCAAGCAAACUUCAACCGCCCAGAUCCUUCCAAGCGUGUCGGGCGCCAGAGCGCCCGGUGGAGCCGCGCGCCGCAGAUCACCCUCCAGCCCCUCCAUCCCGGCGCCAGCGUCGGAAGCCCACACGUCUCUUGAGGAUAAGGUGCCGCUCCUCGCAGCGCCGCGCAUCGAAGGAGAGGAGGACGUCGCCUCGUCACCCCCUGAGCACCCCUCGCCGGCCCCGAGAACGACAGCGAAUGCCCCGGUCAGCGCUCCGUCUGCCAGCCCCUUGCCUCUCAAGCGAGCAGACCGGAUCACCGCCGAGAGGAGGGAACGAUCCCCGAGUGCGGCGUCCGCCGCGAGGGUAUCAUCAGUGGCAAAUAGUCGCUGUAAAGGCAGAGACGGCCGCAUAACGGUUGUUGUGCGCAAGCGCCCUUUAGCACCUGGUGAGCCCGGUGUGGACUGUGUGCAGGUGGACAGGGCGCACGUGCGCAUCGCCGUCACGAAGCAGCGUGUAGACUUGACCAGCUACGAGGAGAGCAGCGACUACGUCUUUGACAGCGCCUUCGGGGCAGAGGCCACGAACGAGGAAGUCUACGCCCAAUCCGUAAAGGACCUUCUCACGGUCAGCCUUUCCGGUGGCAGUGCCUCCUGCUUCGCCUACGGGCAGACAGGCAGCGGCAAGACGUACACCAUGAUAGGAACGGACACGGAAAAGGGCUUGUACCUGCAGGCUGCGGGGGACCUCUUUGAACGACUGCGUCCGGGGCAGCAGCUCUGCGUCUCCUUCUUCGAAAUCUACUGCAACUCGCUUUACGACCUGCUCAACCACCGACACCCUAUCGUCCUCCGCGAGGAUGCCAACCGCCGCGUGAACAUCUGUGGCGUCUCCUGGCGCACCGUCGCAACGGUCGAGGAGCUGUGGCAGCUCGUGCGGUCCGGCAUGGAGCAGCGCCGCACCGGUACGACCACCGCGAACGAGCACUCCAGCCGCUCCCACGCGGUGCUGUCCCUCCGCAUCACAGACAGUGAGAACCCCGACUUCACCGGCACCGUCAACUUUGUCGACCUGGCCGGAAGCGAGCGGGCCGCCGACACAGCCGCACAUGACCGCCUAACGCGACUCGAGGGUGCCGAGAUCAACAAGUCCCUACUGGCGCUCAAGGAGUGCAUUCGUGCCUUGGAUGAGAAGAAGAAGCACGUUCCGUUUCGCGGCUCCCGCCUGACGGAGGUGCUGCGCGCCAGCUUUACCGGCAACAGCAAGACGGUCAUGAUCGCAGCGGUGUCGCCGAGCUCCGUGAACCACGAGCACACCAACAACACGCUGCGGUACGCCUUCCGCGUCAAAGGGCUGAGCGUCCCCUCUGUGGGGCCGAGCAAAGCGCGCAACGCGCCACGGCUCUACCUGCCGGCCGCUCGCAGUCGCUCAAGAGCAGCUGCCGCCGCGAACGAGCCCACCUCGGCCCCAGCUGUGACGGAGUGCAGCUUCAACAGCAAGCACACAGAUGACGCAGGGUCCCCGCGGAGGCCGCGCCGCGCGCGAAGGCGGCGACACGCCUACAAGAAGGCGCACGAACCGCAGAACGAAAUCGGCAUCAGUGAUACUACUGAGAGCUUCACCAGCGACACGGCGACCGAGUCGCCAAGACCGCGCAUGCGAAUAACACAGAGGGCACGCCUGCACCAGGUGGGGCGUAACUCGACGGGGUCGUCCACCUCUGCGAAGCGGCAGAAAAUGUGUUGCUUAGUGCCCUACAUAGUGGAGUCGCUUUCACAGCGUCGGACGCGGCAGCGAACACGGAAGGAACGCUUGCCGCUGCCGCGUGCCGCGCGCUCUAUCUGCGAGUCAUCUGACCUCCUCCUAGCGAAUGUGAGUGGAACGGAUUCGAAAUCGAGGGCGCUCGCGGAGGUGGUCUUGCCACAUGUGAAAGGCGCCACCCGCCACCCCUCCUCGCUCACCUCCGUGGAUGUAGCGGCGCUGGAGCAGCGUCUCACGCUCCAGAUCAUUGCACAGCUGAGGCUAGACCUUGGUCAGCAGCUGGAGGAGGUGCUUAUGGAGAAAGACACCAUCAUUGCGGCGUUGCGGAGCGAGAACGAAAAGCUGCGGCAGGCGCUGGACAAGGCGGGAAAAGAUGAGCAGUUUUACGGAGGCUCUCCGUGUGACGGUGAAGUCCAGAAUCGGCCCGCGGUCCUGCCGGCCCUCUUGUACCCUUCCUCGCCGAGUAUUCUGCAAGAGCAGCUGUCAUCCGGUGCCUCGACGGCAUCGGUCGGGGACGAGGCCCCUCUGCGAGUCUUGUCGGAGUAAAAACAGAAGGAGAGCAGCGAGCAACCGCUGCGCGUCUUCAUGUGACUCUCCUCUUGAGAGCGUAGCGAGAGAAGAGUGGGCGAUGCGGUGCCCGCUGUUUUGGUGUUUAGAAGCCUUUGUGCAUAGAGCAGAUGUUUCUGCGUGCGUGUGUGUGUGUGUCGCUGCGCAUACCCUCCUUGGGCAGCCAUUGCUUCCUCUUCCUUCAUUUUUUUGUGCCUCCUUGCUCUUAUUCCCAGUUUUGAUGUUCAUUGAG